rnacentral:lncRNA from 1 species
GAGCUCUUUCUGAGAUGAAGAGAAUUCUCAAUGUCAAGAUUUGAACAAGAAGAGAAUGGAAUACACAAUAUGGACAUCCAUAAAAAUUCAUCAGAGAGCAUUUUACUACUGAGCUGCAAAGAAAAACACAGAUGGAAGAACAUUGAGGGGGAAUUCCUAAAUGGGAGCAGUUAGCAGCUAUGAAAAUGUAGAUAUUCAAGAAGAAAAGAAAAAGUAAGCAAAACUGAAUCAUGAGACCAUAGAAGAGUCAAAAAAAUGUCAAUUUAUCUCAGCUUUCUGCAAACUACAACCCAUGGGCCAAAUUCAAGGGAAAAACUUAAAAUGGAUAUGAAAAGUGAAGAAAGUGAUCAUAGGAGAAAACCAUUUCAGCCCUUAGGUGUAUGGCUGCCAUAUUUGGAGGAGCUGACUGAAGAUAUGAUAAGGAGUUUGAAGCAACAUUGGAAGCUGUGUGCAUCCGGGUUGAGGUAGUAGGUUGUAUGGUUUAGAGUUACACCCUGGGAGUUAACUGUACAACCUUCUAGCUUUCCUUGGAGCACACUUGAGCCGUCGAGGAAUUCUUCAUCACUUUAACCUGAUUGAGCCAAUUUGUGUGCAAGAAGGUGAUUCCUCAAGAUUACCCAAAUGAUCUGAUACAGGAUUCCGUCUUCCUGAGCAUUAUUUCACACCCAUGGCUAGUUUCUCUGCUACAGGAUAGAGGAAUAACUCCUGAG